rnacentral:rRNA from 1 species
CAGAGGGGGCAAGCGUUGUUCGGAAUUACUGGGCGUAAAGGGCGCGUAGGCGGCCUGUUAAGUCAGACGUGAAAUCCCUCGGCUCAACCGGGGAACUGCGUCUGAUACUGGCGGGCUUGAAUUCGGGAGAGGGAUGUGGAAUUCCAGGUGUAGCGGUGAAAUGCGUAGAUAUCUGGAGGAACACCGGUGGCGAAGGCGGCAUCCUGGACCGACAUUGACGCUGAGGCGCGAAAGCCAGGGGGAGCAAACGGGAUU